GAGGAGGAGCCCGGAGAUGGGCACUGAGACAAGGGCCCAGGCCCUAUGGGGCGCAGCAGGCGCGAAACCUCCGCAAUAGGCGAAAGCUUGACAGGGUUACUCUGAGUGAUUCCCGNUAAGGGAAUCUUUUGGCAUCUCUAAAAACGAUGCAGAAUAAGGGGUGGGCAAGUCUGGUGUCAGCCGCCGCGGUAAUACCAGCACCCCGAGUGGUCGGGACGAUUAUUGGGCCUAAAGCAUCCGUAGCCGGUCUUGCAAGUCUUCCGUUAAAUCCACCUGCUUAACAGAUGGGCUGCGGAAGAUACUACAAGACUAGGAGGCGGGAGAGGCAAGCGGUACUCAGUGGGUAGGGGUAAAAUCCUCUGAUCCAUUGAAGACCACCAGUGGCGAAGGCGGCUUGCCAGAACGCGCUCGACGGUGAGGGAUGAAAGCUGGGGGAGCAAACUGGAUUAGAUACCCGGGUAGUCCCAGCUGUAAACGAUGCAGACUCGGUGAUGGGCCGGCUUCAUGCCGGCUCAGUGCCGCAGGGAAGCCGUUAAGUCCGCCGCCUGGGGAGUACGGUCGCAAGACUGAAACUUAA
rnacentral:rRNA from 1 species